UGACUUCGAAGAGAUCCUCCA
rnacentral:piRNA from 1 species